CAGUAGCCGCGGUAAUACGAAGGGGGCUAGCGUUGCUCGGAAUGACUGGGCGUAAAGGGCGCGUAGGCGGUUUGUACAGUUGGAUGUGAAAUUCCUGGGCUUAACCUGGGGGCUGCAUUCAAUACGUGCAGGCUUGAGUGUGGAAGAGGGUCGUGGAAUUCCCAGUGUAGAGGUGAAAUUCGUAGAUAUUGGGAAGAACACCGGUGGCGAAGGCGGCGACCUGGUCCAUUACUGACGCUGAGGCGCGAAAGCGUGGGGAGCAAACAGGAUUAGAUACCCGCGUAGUCCCUGUCUCUUAUAC
rnacentral:rRNA from 1 species